CUUACAAGGAAAAAUUUCCAUAUUGAAUCUGCCAGAUGUGUGCUUUGUGAUGAUGAACCUAAGGAAUACCUUUAUCAUCCGUUCUUUAGUUGUGAUUUCAGCCAGAACUUCUGGAUGGCCAUUGGUUUUCAAUGGAAUACUGACUAUGAGCUUUUGGAUUUACUCAUGGAGGGCAAGAAACACAACCAUGUUGUAUGCUACAAGGAGUGCCUCAUUAUAGGAUGUUGGAGUAUUUGGAAGCAUAUGAACAACAUCAUCUUUGAUCAAAAACCCAAGAAUAUGCAGUACUGCAUCAGUACAUUCAAGGAGCACUUUGAGAUGAUUAUCAAAAAAGCCAAACCUAGUUUGAAGGAAGGGAUGCAGAGCUGGCUAAACUACUUGUAG
rnacentral:rRNA from 1 species